CAAUAGCGUAUAUUAAAGUUGUUGCAGUUAAAAAGCUCGUAGUUGAAUUUUUGCUUGCCGCCGAUGUCGGAACUUCCGUACGUUCGGCGGCGUGCAUCCUUGGUUGGAACCUGUGUGGCAUUAGGUUGUCGUGCAGGGGAUGCUCAUCGUUUACUGUGAAAAAAUUAGAGUGUUCAAAGCAGGCUUACGCCGUUGAAUAUAUUAGCAUGGAAUAAUAAGAUAGGACCUUGGUACUAUUUUGUUGGUUUGCGCACCGAGGUAAUGAUUAACAGGGACAGUUGGGGGUAUUCGUAUUCCAUUGUCAGAGGUGAAAUUCUUGGAUUUCUGGAAGACGAACUACUGCGAAAGCAUUUACCAAGGAUGUUUUCAUUAA
rnacentral:rRNA from 1 species